UAAGACGGAGGAGGCUAGCGUUGUUCGGAAUUACUGGGCGUAAAGCGCACGCAGGUGGCGAUACAAGUCGGGUGUGAAAGCCCGGGGCUCAACCCCGGAUGUGCAUUCGAUACUGUAUUGCUUGAGCCCGGAAGAGGAGAGUGGAAUUCCCAGUGUAGAGGUGAAAUUCGUAGAUAUUGGGAAGAACACCAGUGGCGAAGGCGACUCUCUGGUCCGGUGCUGACACUCAGGUGCGAAAGCGUGGGGAGCAAACAGG
rnacentral:rRNA from 1 species